AGAAUCCAGAUAUUCUAGGUUUAAUUUUUCUCCUCCUCCUUCUAAUAACUCUAGUACUAUUUUUGCCUGACCUCCUGAGCGACCCAGAUAAUUACACUUUAGCUAACUCCCUCAAUACCCCACCCCACAUUAAGCCAAAGUGAUACUUUUCGUUUGCCUAUGCAAUCUUACAAUCUAUCCCUAACAAACUAAGAGGAGUACUGGCCCUUGUAUUCUCCAUUCUCGUUCUAGCAGUUAUUCCCGUACUUCGGACGUCUAAACAACAAAGCAUAAUAUUCAAGCCAUUAAUUCAAUGCCUAUACUGAACCUUAGUGGCUGACCUACUUACACUCACAUGAAUCAGAGGACAGCCCAUCAAAUACCCUAUUAUUGCCAUCGGACAGACAGCAUCUAUUAGGUACUUCUCUAUCAUCCUCACCCUUAUACCACUGAAUAUAAACUACUUAAAUGAAAAUGCCCUUGUAUUACAAUUCAAUACUGUGGUCUUGUAA
rnacentral:lncRNA from 1 species